rnacentral:rRNA from 1 species
GAUGAACGCUGGCGGCGUGCCUAAUACAUGCAAGUCGAGCGAACGGACGAGAAGCUUGCUUCUCUGAUGUUAGCGGCGGACGGGUGAGUAACACGUGGAUAACCUACCUAUAAGACUGGGAUAACUUCGGGAAACCGGAGCUAAUACCGGAUAAUAUUUUGAACCGCAUGGUUCAAAAGUGAAAGACGGUCUUGCUGUCACUUAUAGAUGGAUCCGCGCUGCAUUAGCUAGUUGGUAAGGUAACGGCUUACCAAGGCAACGAUGCAUAGCCGACCUGAGAGGGUGAUCGGCCACACUGGAACUGAGACACGGUCCAGACUCCUACGGGAGGCAGCAGUAGGGAAUCUUCCGCAAUGGGCGAAAGCCUGACGGAGCAACGCCGCGUGAGUGAUGAAGGUCUUCGGAUCGUAAAACUCUGUUAUUAGGGAAGAACAUAUGUGUAAGUAACUGUGCACAUCUUGACGGUACCUAAUCAGAAAGCCACGGCUAACUACGUGCCAGCAGCCGCGGUAAUACGUAGGUGGCAAGCGUUAUCCGGAAUUAUUGGGCGUAAAGCGCGCGUAGGCGGUUUUUUAAGUCUGAUGUGAAAGCCCACGGCUCAACCGUGGAGGGUCAUUGGAAACUGGAAAACUUGAGUGCAGAAGAGGAAAGUGGAAUUCCAUGUGUAGCGGUGAAAUGCGCAGAGAUAUGGAGGAACACCAGUGGCGAAGGCGACUUUCUGGUCUGUAACUGACGCUGAUGUGCGAAAGCGUGGGGAUCAAACAGGAUUAGAUACCCUGGUAGUCCACGCCGUAAACGAUGAGUGCUAAGUGUUAGGGGGUUUCCGCCCCUUAGUGCUGCAGCUAACGCAUUAAGCACUCCGCCUGGGGAGUACGACCGCAAGGUUGAAACUCAAAGGAAUUGACGGGGACCCGCACAAGCGGUGGAGCAUGUGGUUUAAUUCGAAGCAACGCGAAGAACCUUACCAAAUCUUGACAUCCUUUGACAACUCUAGAGAUAGAGCUUUCCCCUUCGGAGGACAAAGUGACAGGUGGUGCAUGGUUGUCGUCAGCUCGUGUCGUGAGAUGUUGGGUUAAGUCCCGCAACGAGCGCAACCCUUAAGCUUAGUUGCCAUCAUUAAGUUGGGCACUCUAAGUUGACUGCCGGUGACAAACCGGAGGAAGGUGGGGAUGACGUCAAAUCAUCAUGCCCCUUAUGAUUUGGGCUACACACGUGCUACAAUGGACAAUACAAAGGGCAGCGAAACCGCGAGGUCAAGCAAAUCCCAUAAAGUUGUUCUCAGUUCGGAUUGUAGUCUGCAACUCGACUACAUGAAGCUGGAAUCGCUAGUAAUCGUAGAUCAGCAUGCUACGGUGAAUACGUUCCCGGGUCU